rnacentral:rRNA from 1 species
AGCGGAAUGAGGUGCUUGCACCUUAUCUUAGCGGCGGACGGGUGAGUAAUGCUUAGGAAUCUGCCUAUUAGUGGGGGACAACAUUCCGAAAGGAAUGCUAAUACCGCAUACGCCCUACGGGGGAAAGCAGGGGAUCUUCGGACCUUGCGCUAAUAGAUGAGCCUAAGUCGGAUUAGCUAGUUGGUGGGGUAAAGGCCUACCAAGGCGACGAUCUGUAGCGGGUCUGAGAGGAUGAUCCGCCACACUGGGACUGAGACACGGCCCAGACUCCUACGGGAGGCAGCAGUGGGGAAUAUUGGACAAUGGGCGGAAGCCUGAUCCAGCCAUGCCGCGUGUGUGAAGAAGGCCUUUUGGUUGUAAAGCACUUUAAGCGAGGAGGAGGCUACUUAGAUUAAUACUCUAGGAUAGUGGACGUUACUCGCAGAAUAAGCACCGGCUAACUCUGUGCCAGCAGCCGCGGUAAUACAGAGGGUGCGAGCGUUAAUCGGAUUUACUGGGCGUAAAGCGUGCGUAGGCGGCUGAUUAAGUCGGAUGUGAAAUCCCUGAGCUUAACUUAGGAAUUGCAUUCGAUACUGGUCAGCUAGAGUAUGGGAGAGGAUGGUAGAAUUCCAGGUGUAGCGGUGAAAUGCGUAGAGAUCUGGAGGAAUACCGAUGGCGAAGGCAGCCAUCUGGCCUAAUACUGACGCUGAGUACGAAAGCAUGGGGAGCAAACAGGAUUAGAUACCCUGGU